rnacentral:rRNA from 1 species
GACAAUGGGCGGAACCCUGAUCCAGCCAUGCCGCGUGUGUGAAGAAGGCCUUUUGGUUGUAAAGCACUUUAAGCGAGGAGGAGGCUACCUGGAUUAAUACUCUAGGAUAGUGGACGUUACUCGCAGAAUAAGCACCGGCUAACUCUGUGCCAGCAGCCGCGGUAAUACAGAGGGUGCGAGCGUUAAUCGGAUUUACUGGGCGUAAAGCGUGCGUAGGCGGCUGAUUAAGUCGGAUGUGAAAUCCCUGAGCUUAACUUAGGAAUUGCAUUCGAUACUGGUCAGCUAGAGUAUGGGAGAGGAUGGUAGAAUUCCAGGUGUAGCGGUGAAAUGCGUAGAGAUCUGGAGGAAUACCGAUGGCGAAGGCAGCCAUCUGGCCUAAUACUGACGCUGAGGUACGAAAGCAUGGGGAGCAAACAGGAUUAGAUACCCUGGUAGUCCAUGCCGUAAACGAUGUCUACUAGCCGUUGGGGCCUUUGAGGCUUUAGUGGCGCAGCUAACGCGAUAAGUAGACCGCCUGGGGAGUACGGUCGCAAGACUAAAACUCAAAUGAAUUGACGGGGGCCCGCACAAGCGGUGGAGCAUGUGGUUUAAUUCGAUGCAACGCGAAGAACCUUACCUGGCCUUGACAUAGUAGAAACUUUCCAGAGAUGGAUUGGUGCCUUCGGGAAUCUACAUACAGGUGCUGCAUGGCUGUCGUCAGCUCGUGUCGUGAGAUGUUGGGUUAAGUCCCGCAACGAGCGCAACCCUUUUCCUUACUUGCCAGCAUUUCGGAUGGGAACUUUAAGGAUACUGCCAGUGACAAACUGGAGGAAGGCGGGGACGACGUCAAGUCAUCAUGGCCCUUACGGCCAGGGCUACACACGUGCUACAAUGGUCGGUACAAAGGGUUGCUACCUAGCGAUAGGAUGCUAAUCUCAAAAAGCCGAUCGUAGUCCGGAUUGGAGUCUGCAACUCGACUCCAUGAAGUCGGAAUCGCUAGUAAUCGCGGAUCAGAAUGCCGCGGUGAAUACGUUCCCGGGCCUUGUA